AUGGGUCGAUCCAGCCGACAUGGGCGAUUUGUCUGCCAGGGAGAAAGGAGAAGAGGCAAUCAUGCUUCAGUCUCUGUUCAGACAUUCAUAGCAGGUGAUGGGCCCGGUGAUGAUGGCGUUCUUCUGCAUGAACGUGAACCUGGUGUUCUUGAUGCGGAUGGUGAAACAGGCAACAACCGCAUAACCAACAACACGAGCAAGUGA
rnacentral:rRNA from 1 species